AGAGUUUGAUCAUGGCUCAGAAUCAACGCUGGCGGCGUGCCUAACACAUGCAAGUCGAACGCGAGAGAGGCUUCGGCCUCGAUUGAAUGGCAAACGGGUGAGUAACACGUGGGUGACCUACCUUCGAGUGGGGGAUAACGUCCCGAAAGGGACGCUAAUACCGCAUAACAUCCUGCCUUUGAACAGGCGGAGAUCAAAGCCGGGGAUCGUAAGACCUGGCGCUUGAAGAGGGGCCCGCGCCUGAUUAGCUAGUUGGUGGGGUAACGGCUCACCAAGGCGACGAUCAGUAUCCGGCCUGAGAGGGCGGACGGACACACUGGGACUGAGACACGGCCCAGACUCCUACGGGAGGCAGCAGUGGGGAAUUGUUCGCAAUGGGCGCAAGCCUGACGACGCAACGCCGCGUGGAGGAUGAAGACCUUCGGGUCGUAAACUCCUUUCGAUCGAGACGAACGGCCUCCGGGUGAACAACCUGGAGGAGUGACGGUACCGAGAGAAGAAGCCCCGGCUAACUCCGUGCCAGCAGCCGCGGUAAUAC
rnacentral:rRNA from 1 species